UACGGGGGGGGGCAAGCGUUGUUCGGAAUUACUGGGCGUAAAGGGCGCGUAGGCGGCCUGCUAAGUCGGAUGUGAAAUCCCUCGGCUCAACCGAGGAACUGCAUCCGAUACUGGCGGGCUUGAAUCCGGGAGAGGGAUGUGGAAUUCCAGGUGUAGCGGUGAAAUGCGCAGAUAUCAGGAGGAACACCGGUGGCGAAGGCGGGUCUCUGGGCCGAUACUGACGCUGAGGAGCGAAAGCGUGGGGAGCGAACAGG
rnacentral:rRNA from 1 species